AGUGAACGCUGGCGGUAGGCCUAACACAUGCAAGUCGAACGGCAGCACAGUAAGAGCUUGCUCUUACGGGUGGCGAGUGGCGGACGGGUGAGGAAUACAUCGGAAUCUACUUUUUCGUGGGGGAUAACGUAGGGAAACUUACGCUAAUACCGCAUACGACCUACGGGUGAAAGCAGGGGAUCUUCGGACCUUGCGCGAUUGAAUGAGCCGAUGUCGGAUUAGCUAGUUGGCGGGGUAAAGGCCCACCAAGGCGACGAUCCGUAGCUGGUCUGAGAGGAUGAUAAGCCACACUGGAACUGAGACACGGUCCAGACUCCUACGGGAGGCAGCAGUGGGGAAUAGUGGACAAUGGGCGCAAGCCUGAUCCAGCCAUACCGCGUGGGUGAAGAAGGCCUUCGGGUUGUAAAGCCCUUUUGUUGGGAAAGAAAAGCAGCAGGUUAAUACCCCGCUGUUCUGACGGUACCCAAAGAAUAAGCAACGGCUAACUUCGGG
rnacentral:rRNA from 1 species